AUUGAACGCUGGCGGCAGGCCUAACACAUGCAAGUCGAGCGGAUGACGGGAGCUUGCUCCUUGAUUCAGCGGCGGACGGGUGAGUAAUGCCUAGGAAUCUGCCUGGUAGUGGGGGACAACGUUUCGAAAGGAACGCUAAUACCGCAUACGUCCUACGAGAGAAAGCAGGGGACCUUCGGGCCUUGCGCUAUCAGAUGGGCCUAGGUCGGGUUAGCUAGUUGGUGGGGUAAUGGCUCACCAAGGCAACGAUCCGUAACUGGUCUGAGAGGAUGAUCAGUCACACUGGAACUGAGACACGGUCCAGACUCCUACGGGAGGCAACAGUGGGGAAUAUUGGACAAUGGGCGAAAGCCUGAUCCAGCCAUGCCGCGUGUGUGAAGAAGGUCUUCGGAUUGUAAAGCACUUUAAGUUGGGAGGAAGGGCAGUAAGUUAAUACCUUGCUGUUUUGACGUUACCGACAGAAUAAGCACCGGCUAACUCUGUGCCAGCCGCCGCGGUAA
rnacentral:rRNA from 1 species